AAAUGUUCUUGUUUUAGCAGACGACCGUGUCAGGAUAAAGAACAUGAAGGAUCAGCUGGAUAGGAUGACCGCUGUCAUUGAAAAAGGUUAUUCAUCAGACUCUACUGCUCCCACAACAACCAAUGAGAAACAAAAUAAAAAAGAAAAAGGAAGUGACUCCAGCAGUUCAUGGAGGUCUCUCCUAAAUUGGUUUGGUUCAUCACAGAAACCUUCAGGUAACGUAAAUAUUUGCAGCAUAAUUUUUUUUUUUGUGUAUGCGUUUCUUUUAACUUUUGUACUGUUUGAAUCUAUAAUUUUUACAGCACUGUGAGAAAGUUCUUUUUUUCCACACAUUUAAAUGUUAAUCAUUUUUCUAAAAUGUUUGAAAAUUACAUAGGUAUUCUUUUGUCUUUAUCCAGAUUAUUUGCAUUUAUUUGCAUUAUUUGCAUUUGUAUUUUUUAAAGGUUCUUUUUAUUCAUUUUCAACAGAAAAUGUAGAAGAUAAAAUCCAAAAUGAUAAAUUAAAAUUAAUAUAUAACCUUUAUAGUUUGAUAACAAUUGUGUAAUAAUUACCUUUUUUAAUCAA